CAAAAUCUUUGUAAACUUUUUUUAUUAGAAUAGAAUAAAGUGAAUUCAUUUUUUGACAUGAUAUUACCAAAAUGCACGGAGGUCGUAGCCCUUGGAGGCUUGGACAUUUCCACACUUGGCUUACCACGGGAAAAUUUGCUCCUCUCUACCAAUUUGCUCCGCACUAGGAUCAUAUAAGUUUAAUGUUGAUGCUGCCAUAUGAAUGGAAUGUAGAUGGGGUGUUUGUGAAAUUGUCUCAAUGAGUCACUCACUCACUCAGUGAGCCUUGUAGAAGCUUUGAGCAUUGAUCAUGGCCUGGAGGCUGAAAAUAUGCUUGGAAAGUUGGAAGUGUUCAAGCUUUCCAUUCAGAGACUGUCACCUUUCCGUUUAGCCUUGCUAUGCCAGAUGGUAAAUGUUUAGUUCAUAUUUUACAUCUUUUUCUUUAAGACAGGCUUAUAGACAAGUCAGUAUGGUAGCUCAUGAGUUUGCCAAACAUGUCUUACAUUUUCCUGAUUUGGUUUAGGAAGAACAAACUCCACCUUGUAUUCAAUUGGACUUUCUCCUAGGGUCCUCUUAUGAAUGAAAUUAUUGAUUUGAUAUAAAAGAAAAAAAGUUGUUGGAGAGUAUUGAGGUGAAUGAUUAUGUGUACUAGUAAUAUGAAUACUCAGUUGUUUC